rnacentral:rRNA from 1 species
GACGAACGCUGGCGGCGUGCUUAACACAUGCAAGUCGAACGGAAAGGCCCUGCUUUUGUGGGGUGCUCGAGUGGCGAACGGGUGAGUAACACGUGAGUAACCUGCCCUUGACUUUGGGAUAACUUCAGGAAACUGGGGCUAAUACCGGAUAGGAGCUCCUGCUGCAUGGUGGGGGUUGGAAAGUUUCGGCGGUUGGGGAUGGACUCGCGGCUUAUCAGCUUGUUGGUGGGGUAGUGGCUUACCAAGGCUUUGACGGGUAGCCGGCCUGGGAGGGUGACCGGCCACAUUGGGACUGAGAAACGGCCCAGACUCCUACGGGAGGCAGCAGUGGGGAAUAUUGCACAAUGGGCGGAAGCCUGAUGCAGCAACGCCGCGUGCGGGAUGACGGCCUUCGGGUUGUAAACCGCUUUCGCCUGUGACGAAGCGUGAGUGACGGUAAUGGGUAAAGAAGCACCGGCUAACUACGUG